rnacentral:rRNA from 1 species
AGAGUUUGAUUAUGGCUCAGGACGAACGCUGGCGGCGUGCCUAACACAUGCAAGUCGAACGAAGCUCAAAUCGAUUUGAUUCGUCAGAUCGAGAUGAUGACUUAGUGGCGAACGGGUGAGUAACGCGUGAGCAACCUGCCUCGGAGUGGGGGACAACAGUUGGAAACGACUGCUAAUACCGCAUGACAUAUACGAAAGGCAUCUUUUGUAUAUCAAAGAUUUAUUGCUCUGAGAUGGGCUCGCGUCUGAUUAGAUAGUUGGCGGGUAACGGCCCACCAAGUCGACGAUCAGUAGCCGGACUGAGAGGUUGAACGGCCACAUUGGGACUGAGAUACGGCCCAGACUCCUACGGGAGGCAGCAGUGGGGAAUAUUGGGCAAAUGGGGGAAACCCUGACCCAGCAACGCCGCGUGAAGGAAGAAGGCCUUCGGGUUGUAAACUUCUUUUGUUGAGGACGAAGAAAGUGACGGUACUCGACGAAUAAGCUACGGCUAACUACGUGCCAGCCGCGGC